CCGGUAACAACAUCCUGGUGCUGCCUGAGUGACUCUCACCAACUCCAGCAUCAGUGAUUUUGUUGCCGG
rfam:Salmo salar isolate Sally breed double haploid chromosome ssa06, whole genome shotgun sequence.